rnacentral:rRNA from 1 species
CACGUAGGGUGCGAGCGUUGUCCGGAAUUAUUGGGCGUAAAGAGCUCGUAGGCGGUGUGUCGCGUCGGCCGUGAAAACCUGCAGCUUAACUGUGGGCUUGCGGUCGAUACGGGCAUCACUGGAGUUCGGCAGGGGAGACUGGAAUUCCUGGUGUAGCGGUGAAAUGCGCAGAUAUCAGGAGGAACACCGGUGCGAAGGCGGGUCUCUGGGCAUUACCUGACGCUGAGGAGCGAAAGUGUGGGAGCGAACAGG